UACGGAGGGGGCUAGCGUUGUUCGGAAUUACUGGGCGUAAAGCGCACGUAGGCGGCUUCGUAAGUUAGAGGUGAAAGCCCAGGGCUCAACCCUGGAAUUGCCUUUAAGACUGCAUCGCUAGAAUUGUGGAGAGGUAAGUGGAAUUCCGAGUGUAGAGGUGAAAUUCGUAGAUAUUCGGAAGAACACCAGUGGCGAAGGCGACUUACUGGACACAUAUUGACGCUGAGGUGCGAAAGCGUGGGGAGCAAACAGG
rnacentral:rRNA from 1 species